UACGUAGGGGGGCAAGCGUUGUCCGGAAUCAUUGGGCGUAAAGAGCGUGUAGGCGGCCAGAUAAGUCCGCUGUGAAAACUCGAGGCUCAACUUCGAGCUGUCGGUGGAAACUAUUUGGCUAGAGUCCGGAAGAGGAGAGUGGAAUUCCUGGUGUAGCGGUGAAAUGCGCAGAUAUCAGGAAGAACACCAAUGGCGAAAGCAGCUUUCUGGGACGGUACUGACGCUGAGACGCGAAAGCGUGGGGAGCGAACAGG
rnacentral:rRNA from 1 species